rnacentral:rRNA from 1 species
CAAGCGAGCGGCGGACGGGUGAGUAACACGUGGGUAACCUGCCCAAGAGACUGGGAUAACACCUGGAAACAGAUGCUAAUACCGGAUAACAACACUAGACGCAUGUCUAGAGUUUAAAAGAUGGUUCUGCUAUCACUCUUGGAUGGACCUGCGGUGCAUUAGCUAGUUGGUAAGGUAACGGCUUACCAAGGCAAUGAUGCAUAGCCGAGUUGAGAGACUGAUCGGCCACAUUGGGACUGAGACACGGCCCAAACUCCUACGGGAGGCAGCAGUAGGGAAUCUUCCACAAUGGACGCAAGUCUGAUGGAGCAACGCCGCGUGAGUGAAGAAGGGUUUCGGCUCGUAAAGCUCUGUUGGUAGUGAAGAAAGAUAGAGGUAGUAACUGGCCUUUAUUUGACGGUAAUUACUUAGAAAGUCACGGCUAACUACGUGCCAGCAGCCGCGGUAAUACGUAGGUGGCAAGCGUUGUCCGGAUUUAUUGGGCGUAAAGCGAGUGCAGGCGGUUCAAUAAGUCUGAUGUGAAAGCCUUCGGCUCAACCGGAGAAUUGCAUCAGAAACUGUUGAACUUGAGUGCAGAAGAGGAGAGUGGAACUCCAUGUGUAGCGGUGGAAUGCGUAGAUAUAUGGAAGAACACCAGUGGCGAAGGCGGCUCUCUGGUCUGCAACUGACGCUGAGGCUCGAAAGCAUGGGUAGCGAACAGGAUUAGAUACCCUGGUAGUCCAUGCCGUAAACGAUGAGUGCUAAGUGUUGGGAGGUUUCCGCCUCUCAGUGCUGCAGCUAACGCAUUAAGCACUCCGCCUGGGGAGUACGACCGCAAGGUUGAAACUCAAAGGAAUUGACGGGGGCCCGCACAAGCGGUGGAGCAUGUGGUUUAAUUCGAAGCAACGCGAA